CCUACGGGAGGCUGCAGUGAGGAAUAUUGGUCAAUGGACGCAAGUCUGAACCAGCCAUGCCGCGUGCAGGAAGACGGCUCUAUGAGUUGUAAACUGCUUUUGUACGAGGGUAAACGCAGAUACGCGUACCUGUCUGCAAGUACCGUACGAAUAAGGAUCGGCUAACUCCGUGCCAGCAGCCGCGGUAAUACGGAGGAUUCGAGCGUUAUCCGGAUUUAUUGGGUUUAAAGGGUGCGUAGGCGGUCGGUUAAGUUAGAGGUGAAAGCCCGAGGCUCAACUUCUGAAUUGCCUCUGAUACUGUUCGGCUAGAGUGUAGUUGCGGUAGGCGGAAUG
rnacentral:rRNA from 1 species